rnacentral:rRNA from 1 species
UACGUAGGUGGCAAGCGUUGUCCGGAUUUACUGGGCGUAAAGAGCGCGCAGGCGGUCGUUCAAGUCGCGUGUGAAAGCCCCCGGCUCAACUGGGGAGGGUCACGCGAUACUGAUCGACUCGAAGGCAGGAGAGGGAAGUGGAAUUCCCGGUGUAGUGGUGAAAUGCGUAGAGAUCGGGAGGAACACCUGUGGCGAAGGCGGCCGACUGGGCCGACCCUGACGCUGAGGCGCGAAGGCGUGGGGAGCGAACGGG